rnacentral:pre_miRNA from 1 species
GAAAUACUCCCUCCGUCCGGAAAUACUUGUCAUUGAAAUAAAUGUAUCUAGAUGUAUUUUAAUUCUAGAUACAUCCAUUUUCAUCCAUUUAUGCGACAAGUAUUUCCGGACGGAGGGAGUACCCG